AGAGUUUGAUCAUGGCUCAGGACGAACGCUGGCGGCGCGCUUAACACAUGCAAGUCGAACGAGAAUCAGUCCUUCGGGACUGAGGACAGCGGCGAACGGGUGAGUAACACGUGGGUAAUCUGCCCUCGAUUCUGGGAUAGCCCGGGGAAACCCGGAUUAAUACCGGAUAGCCUCUCGAGCUUUCGAGCUCGUGAGAAAAGGUAGCUUCGGCCUCCGAUCGAGGAUGAGCCCGCGGCGGAUUAGCUUGUUGGUGGGGUAACGGCUCACCAAGGCGACGAUCCGUAGCUGGUCUGAGAGGACGAUCAGCCACACUGGGACUGAGACACGGCCCAGACUCCUACGGGAGGCAGCAGUGGGGAAUCUUGCGCAAUGGGCGAAAGCCUGACGCAGCGACGCCGCGUGGGGGAAGAAGGCCUUCGGGUUGUAAACCUCUUUCGACAGGGACGAAGCCACUCGGGUUAAUAGCCCAGAGGGUGACGGUACCUGCAGAAGAAGCCCCGGCUAACUACGUGCCAGCAGCCGCGGUAAUACGUAGGGGGCAAGCGUUGUCCGGAUUUAUUGGGCGUAAAGAGCGUGUAGGCGGCCAGACAGGUCCGUUGUGAAAACUGGAGGCUUAACCUUCAGACGUCGAUGGAAACCGUCGGGCUAGAGUCCGGAAGAGGAGAGUGGAAUUCCUGGUGUAGCGGUGAAAUGCGCAGAUAUCAGGAAGAACACCCGUGGCUAAGGCGGCUCUCUAGUACGGUACUGACGCUGAGACGCGAAAGCGUGGGGAGCGAACAGGAUUAGAUACCCUGGUAGUCCACGCCGUAAACGAUGGGUGCUAGGUGUGGGGGGUGUCGACUCCCUCCGUGCCGAAGCUAACGCAUUAAGCACCCCGCCUGGGGAGUACGGCCGCAAGGCUAAAACUCAAAGGGAAUUGACGGGGGCCGA
rnacentral:rRNA from 1 species